rnacentral:rRNA from 1 species
GACGAACGCUGGCGGCGUGCUUAACACAUGCAAGUCGAGCGGUAAGGCCCUUUCGGGGUACGACGAGCGGCGAACGGGUAGGAGUAACAACGUGGGUGGACCUCGCCCUCCAGCGUCUGGGAGUAAGACCGUCGGGAAGGACCGGGUCCGUAAUAACCGGAUAUGACUCCAUGACGCAUGUUGUGGGGUGGAAAGCCUUGUGCGGCUGAGGAUGGGCCCGGCCGGCCUAUCAGCUUGUUGGUGGGGUGAUGGCCUACCAAGGCGACGACGGUAGCCGGCCUGAGAGGGCGACCGGCCACACUGGGACUGAGACACGGCCCAGACUCCUACGGGAGGGCAGCAGUGGGGAAUCUUGCGCAAUGGGCGAAAGCCUGACGCAGCGACGCCGCGUGAGGGAUGACGGCCU